CUACGGGUGGCUGCAGUGGGGAAUAUUGCACAAUGGGCGCAAGCCUGAUGCAGCCAUGCCGCGUGUAUGAAGAAGGCCUUCGGGUUGUAAAGUACUUUCAGCGGGGAGGAAGGGAGUAAAGUUAAUACCUUUGCUCAUUGACGUUACCCGCAGAAGAAGCACCGGCUAACUCCGUGCCAGCAGCCGCGGUAAUACGGGAGGGUGCAAGCGUUAAUCGGAAUUACUGGGCGUAAAGCGCACGCAGGCGGUUUGUUAAGUCAGAUGCGAAAUCCCCGGGCUCAACCUGGGAACUGCAUCUGAUACUGGCAAGCUUGAGUCUCGUAGAGGGGGGUAGAAUUCCAGGUGUAGCGGUGAAAUGCGUAGAGAUCUGGAGGAAUACCGGUGGCGAAGGCGGCCCCCUGGACGAAGACUGACGCUCAGGUGCGAAAGCGUGGGGAGCAAACAGGAUUAGAUACCCUCGUAGUC
rnacentral:rRNA from 1 species